rnacentral:rRNA from 1 species
UACAGAGGGUGCAAGCGUUAAUCGGAAUUACUGGGCGUAAAGCGUGCGUAGACGGUUAUUUAAGUCAGGUGUGAAAGCCCCGGGCUCAACCUGGGAAUUGCAUUUGAGACUGAAUAGCUAGGGUGCGGAAGAGGGAAGCGGAAUUUCCGGUGUAGCGGUGAAAUGCGUAGAUAUGCGGAGGAACACCGAUGGCGAAGGCAAUCCCCUGGACCUGUACUGACGCUCAUGCACGAAAGCGUGGGGAGCAAACAGG